ACACCUCAACUCUCAUGGUUUGCCAUGAUGAGCUUGGACUUUGGGGGUCUUGCUGGCCUGUGGUCAGCUCCUCUCAAAUGGAUUAGCUUGCCAGUGUUUGGUGGCAUCACAGGUGUGAUAACUAUCUACGCUUGUGGUUUUCCACCAGGUAACCUUCAGCAAUGGGGGUUCGCUGGAGCUCACAGACGUCUCUCCUCAGCGAGGACAGCCCUUUGAAU
rnacentral:misc_RNA from 1 species